UACGUAGGGGGCAAGCGUUAUCCGGAUUUACUGGGUGUAAAGGAAGCGUAGACGGCAGCGCAAGUCUGGAGUGAAAUGCCGGGGCCCAACCCCGGAACUGCUCUGGAAACUGUGAAGCUGGAGUGCAGGAGAGGCAAGUGGAAUUCCUAGUGUAGCGGUGAAAUGCGUAGAUAUUAGGAGGAACACCAGUGGCGAAGGCGGCUUGCUGGACUGUAAAUGACGCUGAGGCUCGCAAGCGUGGGGAGCAAACAGG
rnacentral:rRNA from 1 species